CAGUCGCCACGGGAAUACGUAGGUGGCAAGCGUUGUCCGGAAUUAUUGGGCGUAAAGGGCUCGCAGGCGGUUUCUUAAGUCUGAUGUGAAAGCCCCCGGCUCAACCGGGGAGGGUCAUUGGAAACUGGGAAACUUGAGUGCAGAAGAGGAGAGUGGAACUCCACGUGUAGCGGUGAAAUGCGUAGAGAUGUGGAGGAACACCAGUGGCGAAGGCGACUCUCUGUCUGUAACUGACGCUGAGGAGCGAAAGCGUGGGGAGCGAACAGGAUUAGAUACCCCCGUAGUCCCUGUCUCUUAUACA
rnacentral:rRNA from 1 species